AGCGGCUAGGUUCCUCCUCCGCAGAACCCCGCCUCCACUCACUCCUCCUCAGCCUCCAGCGCCACCUCGUAUCUCCUCAAUCCCGACAUGUCCUGGGUUCCGAACGUCUCCUGGGGAGCGGCAUGAUUGGAUCAAGGAUUCCCCAAUCCCGGAUCCCCUUCUCUGUCAUUCUCUGGACCAGUCUGACUUGUUCUCGGGAGGUGGAUCAACUCAGAGAGGUGGUACGUGUGGUAGCUAAGAGUCAGAUUCUGGAGCCCGUCUGCCCAGCCAGGACCCCCAGCUCUGCCACUUUACCGGCCAUCCAGCCUGGUGCUGGUGGUGAUGAAGAAGACUCCCUGGUGCCCUCAGAACAAACAUGGAGCCUGGGGUAGCCUCCCCAGGUCAUUACAGUGCCUGCCCAUCCAUGGUCUGGGAACCAGUCUCUCCCUUGAGACAAGCAGAGUUGAGAAGGAAUGUUCCUUGGAAGGAGGCCCACCACCUCUUCCCACAUCUCAGACCUCUGGGAUUCAACCUCCUGACUCAGCAGCACUGUCUCUUUCUUGAGUUACCAUUUUCAUAUGCCCAACACCUGGGUCAACAGAACAGCUGGAGGGAGCCUGGCCUGGCAUAACUCCCUUCAUCUUUCCCUUCCUCUGGAUCCUGGAAACCAAGAGGGGAUUUCUAAGGAGAGGGGGCUGGCCAGCUCAUAUUCACACAAAUCCCCAAAUUCCAAGGAAUAGACAGAUGGGGGUGGGGACAAGUGAUUUCCCAUCUUUAUGAGAAAAACUGGAGAUAGAUCAGAAGUCCUCAGAAGAGAAAUUAAUAUGUGGGACACCCAUUCACCCAUCCCUACCCAAGCUCUGAACCCUCUUUUGGAUGGGAGAGUGUUUCACUCAUAAGUUUCUGACUUAUUUUCCUUUCCAUCCAUUAAUAAUAAUAGUAGUAAUAGUAUUUCUGAUGUUUACUAGGUGCUAGACUUCAUACCAAGGACUUGACCACUGUUACCUUGCUUAACUUUCCCCCAAAAACUAGGAAGUAGUUUUUUUUUUUUUUAAUAGAUUUAUUUAUUUUUGGCUGCGUUGGGUCUUUGUUGCUGCGCGCGGGCUUCUCAUUAUGGAGGCUUCUCUUGUUGCGGAGCAUAGGUGCGCGGGCUUCCGUACUUGUGGCUUGCAGGCUCUAGAGCACAGGUUCAGUAGUCGUGGCGCAUGGGCUUAGUUGCUCCGCGGCAUGUGGGAUCUUCCCGGUCCAGGGCUCAAACCCUUGUCCCCUGCAUUGGCAGGCAGAUUCCUAACCACUGCUCUACCAGGGAAGCCCUAGGAAGUAGUUUUUAUUAUUAUCAUAUUAUUAUCUCUUUUAACACAUAAGGAAUGAGGCUCAGAGCACAAGGUCACAAAGGAAAUAAGUGUCUUGAACUGAGGCAUCUUUAAGAUUUACACUCUUUCCUACCAUUCCACACUGCCUGUCUGCCACUGAUCACACAACAGCACAGGGGAGUGAGGCUCUACACAUAGCAUGCCUAGGUUGGGAUUUAGAUUACAUUACUUGCUAGCUGUGUGACCAUGUGCAAAGUAUCUAGUUUCUGUGUCUUAGUGUCCUUAUCUGUAAAAGAGGAAUGGUAAUAGCUUUUAAUUCUUAGGAUUAAAUGAGGUAAUCUGAGCAAAACCCUUAGUUUAGAGGCUGGUACACAAGGAACACUUAAUAUUAACCAUUAUUAUUAUUCUAUCCUUUUAUUCAGAUGUCUGUCAGUGCAUCUAUCUCUCCAUCUUUCCAUGGAUCCUUGUCUUUAUGGUGGUUCUGAUUAUUCUCUGUUGCCCCACCCCCGUCCAUUCUCCACUCUUCUCUGCCCUGCUCUGUUCUCUAGAAGAGUGACCUCUACAGACAGUAUUACUCAGGAUCCCUUAUCCUUUAGCUUCUGUUUGGGCUUGGCCAUGGGAGACAGCAGCAGGAUAUAAGUGGUAGGAGAGAGAGGUUGGGGUAUUAAUUCUCCAAAUCCUUCAUCUUGCUAUAGUUCUGACAGUGAAUAAUUUACUCUGUGGCAGUUGUUCUUAAAGAGUGGUCUUUGGGGGCUUCCCUGGUGGUGCAGUGGUUAAGAAUCCGCCUGCCAAUGCAGGGAACAUGGGUUUGAGCCCUGGUCCGGCAAGAUCCCACAUGCUGUGGAGCAACUAAGGCCGUAUGCCACAACUACUGAGCCUGUGCUCUAGAGCCCACGAGCCACAACUACUGAGCCCACAUGCCACAACUACUGAAGCCCGUGCACCUAGGGCCCGUGCUCCGCAACGAGAGAAGCCACUGCAAUGAGAAGCCCAUGUGCUGCAAUGAAGAGUAGCCCCUGCACACUGCAACUAGAGAAAAACCCACGUGCAGCAACGAAGACCCAACGCAGCCAAAAAAAAAAAAAAAAAUUAAUUAAAAAAAAAGAGUGGUCUUCGGACAGCAGCAUCAGCAUCACCUGGGAGCUUGUUAGAAAUGUAAAUUCUCAGGUCCUACUCCAGACCUACUGGAGCAAUCCGUAUUUAACACACCCUUGAUGACUCUGAUACAUGCUGAAGUUUGAGAACCACUGAUCUACAGUUAGCUUCUUUUGGGCUGCCUCCUCUCCGUGGGUUUAUCUCUGAGGCUCCCAAAACACUGUUCCUUCCUCUGACCCCUUCAGGCCUUGGUAUGGUAAUGGUUUCCCACUAUUGCUGAACCCUGAGUGCCUCACUCUUCCUUGUUGGUUCCUUAAUCUUGACCCCCACCUCUUAAAUAGCCCCUUUAUUAAAAUCUUUCUGGUUAGACUUUUUUUGAGUGUGCCAUCUGUUUCCUGCCAGGAUCCUAACUGAUACAGUAAAUGGUACCAGAAGACAUCCCAGGAAAUAGAUUUCCAAAAUGGGAUCCUGGGAUUGUGUUGCUCAUAUAUUUGCUGAGCACACAAACCUCCUUGCAUGGGGAAAGAGGACACGAGUAAAUCCAGAACAUGAAGAAGCAUCACCAUCACUUAAGACUAUCACUAAGUGAGGUGCAGUGUGGGAUGCUGAUGGAGGGAAAGACAUUAGGAGAUAAAAUGCCUCAGGUACUUAAUUGCUAUGGCCGCAAAUGGUGAUUUCAAAGGGUCUUACAUAUAUGGUUGGGUGGGCUGCCUGUUUCUGAUUGUGCUGGCACAAUUACAGAAGAAAAAGAAAAGUUUAAGAACAUGAAAUUCUAUAACUGAUUCACUUUGUUAUAAAGCAGAAACUAACACACCAUUGUAAAGCAAUUAUACUCCAACAAAGAUGUAAAAAAAAAAAAUAAAAAAAAACCCAGUAAAGGUUAAAAAAAAAAAAAGAACAUGAAAU